rnacentral:siRNA from 1 species
GCUCUUGGUUAGUUGCUGCUUUGC